GGGAAGUGGAGAUACAAGAAGCUGCAGAUCCUGGAAUCUGAAGCAGGGACCGCGCAAUCUGGAGACGCAGAGACGAAGUCGAUGUUGAUCUGGCAACGUUAAACGCCAGAGCACCAGGCGAGCUGAGACUCAUAGACCUAUUGAAUACCUUCGAGUGGAAUCGAUGCAGACUGGAGACUAACAUCACUUUCUCUACAUGAGACAAAGACAAGUCCAGGCUGGGUUUGCCUGGGAUACACGGAGCCCUCGAUGCUGACAAACCUCCACUGGUUGCUGAUUAGAAAUGGAGGUGAUUAAAAGUACAGUGACUGCUCACCUGUCGAAUCCAUCAACAUAUUGUGCUUCACCAGGAGUUCCAAUGUUAAAGCAGAAGAGGGCA